GAUGAAGAACGCAGCGAAAUGCGAUAAGUAAUGUGAAUUGCAGAAUUCAGUGAAUCAUCGAAUCUUUGAACGCACAUUGCGCCCCCCAGUAUUCUGGCGGGCAUGCCUGUUCGAGCGUCAUUACAACCCUCAGGCCCCCGGGCCUGGCGUUGGGGAUCGGCGGAGCCCCCCGUGGGCACACGCCGUCCCCCAAAUGCAGUGGCGGUCCCGCCGCAGCUUCCAUCGCGUAGUAGCUAACACCUCGCGACUGGAGAGCGGCGCGGCCACGCCGUAAAACACCCAACUCUUCUGAAGUUGACCUCGAAUCAGGUAGGAAUACCCGCUGAACUUAAGCAUAUCAAUAAGCGGAGGA
rnacentral:misc_RNA from 1 species